rnacentral:ncRNA from 2 species
GUAAAAAGCUAGGGGUCCUAGGCAGAUGCAUACCGCAUCCCGCCGGGUGAGAAAAACCCUUGAACCUGAUCUGGAUAAUGCCAGCGAAGGGAAGCUAACGAGAACGAUG